GGGAAGAGCCAGCGCUGAAUCUAAUGCCCUCGGGCAUUAAGACAUGUGGCGUUGGGACGAAACAUUGCCUGUGCAGAAUGAUCAUCCAAGUCCCUCUUGAACGGGGCCAUUACCCAUGGAGGGUGCUAGGCCCGUACGAUGAUUUAUUGCGUUUCGUCCGUAGAGUCGGGUGCUUGGGAGUGCAGCCCAAAUCAGGUGGUAACUCCAUCUAAGGCUAAAUAUGACCACGAGACCGAUAGCGAACAAGUACCGUGAGGGAAAGUGAAAAGAACUGAAGAGAGAGUUCAAUAGUACGUGAAACCUCUCGGGGGUAAGCGGGCAGAACUUGCAAGUAUUGAGAUUCAGGCUUAGUUUGGUGACUGAGGGAAGUUGUUUGUUGUGUGCUCUUUUGAUGAUGCGCCGCAUUUCUUUUUACCGGGUUGCAUGCAACUGAUAGGUGCCGGGUGUCUGCGUGUCCUUGUUCGAGCCCUUCUCCAAUUGCUCAUGCGGUGAACAGGCGUUCGCGGUCAAAGUUUUUCACGAGUAGGGUUUGUAUAGUGCAUGGAUGGGUAACCAUAUGAUUGUCAGUUGGCUCUGUUCAUUGCAAUCUAAAGCAUGCGUGGUCUGCCUGUCCCGUCUUGAAACACGGACCAAGGAGUCUAACAUGUGCGCGAGUCAUUGGGAACCCGCGGAAUGAAAGUAAGAUGAGGAGAGAUCUGCGCAUCUC
rnacentral:rRNA from 1 species